UACGAGGGGUGCAAGCGUUGCUCGGAAUUAUUGGGCGUAAAGGGUAGGUAGGUGGUCUCAUUUGUCUGAGGUGAAAGCCUUGAGCUUAACUCAAGAAGUGCCUUAGAAACGGUGAGACUGGAGUCCUGGAGAGGGUCGUGGAAUUCCCGGUGUAGCGGUGAAAUGCGUAGAGAUCGGGAGGAACACCAGCGGCGAAGGCGGCGACCUGGACAGGUACUGACACUCAACCACGAAAGCGUGGGUAGCAAACAGG
rnacentral:rRNA from 1 species